rnacentral:rRNA from 1 species
UACGUAGGCAGCGAGCGUUGUUCGGAGUUACUGGGCGUAAAGAGUGCGUAGGCGGUGGCCCAAGUCUGGUGUGAAAUCUCCCGGCUCAACCGGGAGGGUGCGCCGGAAACUGGGUCGCUUGAGUACUGGAGAGGCAAGCGGAAUUCCUGGUGUAGCGGUGAAAUGCGUAGAUAUCAGGAGGAACACCCGUGGUGUAGACGGCUUGCUGGACAGUCACUGACGCUGAGGCACGAAAGCGUGGGGAGCAAACAGGAUUAGAAACCCCCGUAGUCC